GGAACACCCUAAAGACCUCAACACCAAGCGUCAUGGGAAACCAUGGCGUGGCCGAGCUAAUAGCCCUGGGUAUGGUAACAGCUUGAGGUAUGAAGCCUUCACAAGGAGGCCGAAAUGGGCAAUCCGCAGCCAAGUCCUAACGUGCUCGAAACCGAGUGCCAUGGAUGCUGUUCACAGGCCAAAUGGUAGUGGGUGACUCUUGCGAGUUGCUUAAGAUAUGGUCGGGCCCCUUCAGAAAUGUGGGGGAUAAGCUUACGCUUCUCCAAACCGUUCCGUAGGUGAACCUGCGGAAGGAUCAUU
rnacentral:rRNA from 1 species